GACGUAGGGCGCGAGCGUUGUCCGGAUUUAUUGGGCGUAAAGAGCUCGUAGGCGGCUUGUCGCGUCGACCGUGAAAACUUGGGGCUCAACCCCAAGCCUGCGGUCGAUACGGGCAGGCUCGAGUUCGGUAGGGGAGACUGGAAUUCCUGGUGUAGCGGUGAAAUGCGCAGAUAUCAGGAGGAACACCGAUGGCGAAGGCAGGUCUCUGGGCCGAUACCGACGCUGAGGAGCGAAAGCGUGGGGAGCGAACAGG
rnacentral:rRNA from 1 species